rnacentral:rRNA from 1 species
CCUAAGGAUUAGUUUUUAGGUAGUACCUGCCCAGUGAAUAUUUAACGGCCGCGGUAAUUUGACCGUGCUAAGGUAGCAUAAUCAUUUGUCUUUUAAUUGAAGACUGGAAUGAAAGGUUUAACAAGAAAUUUGCUGUCUUAAUAAAAUAAAUUGAACUUUAUUUUUUAGUGAAAAAGCUAAAAUAGUUUUGUGGGACGAUAAGACCCUAUAGAUCUUUAUUAUUAAAAGUGGUUAACUUUUGGAUAUAAUUUUAUUGGGGCGAUAAUAAGAAAGAAAUAUCUCUUGAAACUUAAAUAUACUAAUUGGUAAAUGAAUUUGUGAUCCUAGAGGAUAGAAUAUUAGAAUAAGUUACCUUAGGGAUAACAGCGUAAUAUUUUUAUAGAGUCCUUAUCGAAAAAAAUGUUUGCGACCUCGAUGUU